CCUACGGGGGGCAGCAGUGGGGAAUAUUGGACAAUGGGGGCAACCCUGAUCCAGCCAUGCCGCGUGUGUGAAGAAGGCCCUCGGGUUGUAAAGCACUUUCAGUGAGGAAGAACGCCUGGUGGUUAAUACCCAUCAGGAAAGACAUCACUCACAGAAGAAGCACCGGCUAACUCCGUGCCAGCAGCCGCGGUAAUACGGAGGGUGCGAGCGUUAAUCGGAAUUACUGGGCGUAAAGCGCGCGUAGGUGGCUUGAUAAGCCGGUUGUGAAAGCCCCGGGCUCAACCUGGGAACGGCAUCCGGAACUGUCAAGCUAGAGUGCAGGAGAGGAAGGUAGAAUUCCCGGUGUAGCGGUGAAUUGCGUAGAGAUCGGGAGGAAUACCAGUGGCGAAGGCGGCCUUCUGGACUGACACUGACACUGAGGUGCGAAAGCGUGGGUAGCAAACAGGAUUAGAUACCCCGGUAGUC
rnacentral:rRNA from 1 species